CAGGAGCCGCGCCGGCCGGGAGUUGGGUGGGCUCGGGGACAGGCGCGCUCGCGCCGCCCGCUCCAGCUGGGCUAGUGCUGCACAUUCCGGCCAGCCCCUCCUCAAGACCCCAUUCCCAAGCCCCUUCUCAGCUCCCUCGGGCCGGCAGAGCGGCUCUGAUCAGAGUCUUGCUCAGUCGCCCAGGCUGAAGUACAGUGGCACGAUCUCAGCUCACUGCAGCCUCCAUCCCCCAGGUUCAAGCGAUUCUCCUGCCUCAGCCUCCCGAGUAGCUAGGACUACAGAGCACCAUGGCCUGGCAAGGUCCGACGUUUUCCAAGGAUCCUGGCUGAGCUCCUGUGGAAGCUGCUCCUUACACUGAUGUGGUCCCUCGGCUGGCAGGCCCUUCUGCGGCCAACCAGGUGACACCUGCCAGUUAUGAGGGACAGGUAGGAGAGGAUGAUGGGCUUUCCGUCAAAAAAAAAAAAAAAAAAAAAAGAGGUAAGUUUUUCCAACUGCUUUUCUUUCAUUCAAAUUUUAAUCUUAAGACUAACAUACAUUAAUUUCUUAUUUUUAUCUCAUAAAGUCCAGAAUUUCUGAUAAUUUCAGUUCUUUUCCAGAGUGCAAAGAAGCAAAUUGGCUCUUCAGGUAUUAUGUUUAACAUUUUGCAGGAAUUGCUUUACUCUAUAGAUAAACUACAAAUUUGAGACUUA
rnacentral:antisense_RNA from 1 species